AGGGCCCACGUUUAACAAUAAUAAUGGAAUCCAUUUAAAGUGUGCGCUGUUAGUCUCACUAAGUCAUUAAGUUUGCCAUCGGCCAACGUGUUUUGUACAAAUAAAAGUUGAUUAAAAACACAUAAGAAAUUCUGUUUGGGAAAAGAAAUCCAGAGUAGUAACAGGAGCUCUGAUUGGUCGACUGUAAAAAGUCUACGGACCGAAUCACUGCAGUCCGCAGCAGAAACUAGAGCCGUUUGUUUCAGUGCUGUCGGCAUCUCACAGGAAGUUAGCUUCAGCGGAGUCCCUGUCCCUGAUCCCCAGAGGGACAAAUCUCAAACGUGGACAAACAAAACUCCAACGAUCCCGUACAAAUGCAGAGUCGUGAGAUCGUGUUCGUGCUGUACAGUGCUGUCGGGGGUCUCGUAGAGGUCCAGCUCCUCCUGCUGGCCGUACUGGUUCGGUGGCGCCGUCUCAUACAGAUGCUCGCCGUUCUCCUCAGCAGCUGCGUCAGAGGACACUUCCUCCGUGUCCUAAGGAGGCAAACAGGAUCAUUGCAGGUGGCAGCCGAUGAUUGGAUGAGAGACGAGCCGAGCGCCGCCUGUCGUGCUGAAGCUUAAUCUUCUGUGUACGUGUUGUAUUUUCUGAACUGGCAGAGCAGGUAUCUGCACCUUUUCUCCUGUCUUACGUUGGAUCAGUCAGUUAGUGUUAAAGCUCAUGCUGGGUCACACUCGCCCCGAUGCCGUUUUUUCCUACCACUGAUUAGAAAAUAAAUCUGUUCUGCUUGGACUGCACUCACGGUGGUGCUGGUCUUCCUUUGGAGUGGGAACCAGAGGAGUCAUCUUUCUGCUGUGGUCAUGCUGAGCGUAACACAUCAUAAACAGCUUCAGUUUAUUACCGACUCGCAUGCAAAAAACCCGCCGUGACUCACCUGGUACGACGCGGCGGCAGCUGGCUGGACCGGAGGGGUGGGGCUGGGGCUCGCAGGGGGGACAGGAGACGGGGCCUUGGGCGUCUCUUCGAUUUUACGGCGCGCCUCCUCUUGCUCCUGCUUCUCCUUGGCCUGUCGGCGGGCUCGCUCCUCCUCCGCCCUCUUCUUGUCCUCCUCCUCCUUCUGCUUGGCGAUGUUCUCGAAGCGGGCCUUGAUGCUGCCCGUGCUGCUGCCAGCUGAGGAGGGCAAAAGUGAUGCGGUGAGUUUCACGUGCUGCCUCAAAGCUGUGAGCGAAACGCAGCUGAGGAUGCUGAAUGCUCACCGGCCUCCACAGGUCUGGUCUUCUGGUAAGAGGGCUUCGGCUUCUCCACAUCUUCAAAGGUCCCUGCGCUCUGUCAACCACACAGACGUGAGAUGUACCACGGAGCUCUCCACACAUAAGCGGGCGCACAAAAACACUCCUUACCUUAUCCAUGCGGUCAUUUUGGACACCAAAUUUCCCUCCAAAUCCCUUUGAAUAAUCUGAUGAGCAACGGGAGAAAAGCAAAGGUCAGUUUCUGUUUUACAUGAAUGACUCAACCACAGUCAGCAUCAUCAGAACUUGUUUUCCAGAGGCGACCUUAAAAAAAUGUAGGAAACUUUCCUUUGGCACACUGUUGGAGACAGAGGAGAAAUCGUUUCUGUUCUGCUAAAGUUCAGAUGAAGCGGACUGAGGCUGGUUUCACAGGAACCGAUAAACCGAACUGAAAAGAGCUGCUGGGGGACAAGCGAGCUCAUGCAAACCCGUCGACAGGAGGAUCAAAACAAAGCGACAGCAGACAGAGUCGUAACAUGAGGCAGAGGGUUCGGGCUCGGUCUCUGUGGUCGCACGACGUCAUGCACAAAGUGGAUGCAGAAGCAAACGAAACAGCAUCGUGGCAGUGGGGGAUAUGCAGUCAGGGAUGAAUACUGCUGAAGACGUGUGACUACAUGCACACACCCUCAUAUCAUGUAGGAAUGUAUGGGCCAUGCCACAGGAGACGCCUGCACUUCCACAUUAACGUUUCUGCUUCUGCUGGAGGGCAUUUGAACAUUAAGCCGCAGGCUGACUGACAGGACGUGGGCCUAACCGAAGGCUGCGUGAGGCACAAUCGUCUCCACGUGAAUAAAACAACAACAAAAGAAGACAAAGGAGGCUGUGAACAGAAAGUCAACACACCUGAGCAGCACAGACCCAACACUGACAAGUGAACCGAGGAGGAACAUUAACUUUGUAAACAGUGACAGCCUCACUGCACGGUGAGACCACAACUACAAGAACAAGUGAUUCAGCUCAUGCUGAAGGGUCAGCUCACCAAGUGUAGCUUCCUCGCCACUUUGACAUCAUGAGCGACUAACCACAAGCUGCACUUCUUGUUCUUCUUCUACUGUGUUUAUGGGUGGACCAAAAACCACCACCUACUGUACUGGAGUGUGUACGUGUUAUCGGCGGGCUGAGACAGAACACGAGCCUAUGAAACAACACGUCACCACAUAAUCAUGACGAUCACAUCGCCUGGUUCUCGCACACCCACAGCUCUACUGAAACUCAAAUCUUUCUGAAGUUUCUCCUGUGUUUUGUACGUUCAGCCAAAGCCAAAAAUGAACAUUUACGAUCCCUGAUAACUCGGCUUCAACACUCACACACUGAAUAUCAGAACUUUUCAAAGAUCAAGAAUGAACUCUGAACCUCACAACUGUUAGGCCUGUAACUUAAACAUUUUCUAUAUUGUGACACAGACAAAAUUCCUUUCUCUCCGCAGGGCAGGAUGCCAACCUGAGGUACAUGACAAAAAAGGUUUUCUGUAAUUUGGGUGAGCUGAGUCAACAGAUGAGCUCGUCUGCACUGUUCAUGUUAAUCGGCUGGUGCUGCAGAGGUGGAGGUGGGAGGAGGGGGUGUAACAGUGAAGGGUUAUCUGACAGAAGGCGUCUGUCAGGUAAAGAAGGUGUGUCUGCCGCUUAAAAGAAAAGAGCCGUUACUGAGGAUGAGGAGGAUGGCGUGAAGGAUGGAGAUUCAAGCUGGGAAGAAGCUCUUUUUUCUGGGGUAAGAAUCAGGAGGGGGGUGGGGAGUGGGAAACGGGAGGUGGGGUAGGCUGUUGUGCUCAGGGAGGGGGGGGGUAAUCUGUGCCUUUCUGGGACUCGUGCUUGGCCAGGCUCUCCUUGUGCUCAUAGCCCAGGGCACACUGGUCCUGCUUGUCCACCUCUACCCCAUACUGCCCUCCAAACCCACGCUUAUAGUCUGCAACACAACACACACACACACACACACACACACAGAUAAACACGGACACACAGUACACACACACACACACACAUAUAAAUGGACAAACACACAGAGACAAUGAUACACAGUGCAGGGUUUUCAGGACUCAGAAACACACAUCAGUUUGUUAGUGGCUGCUCUGACAUUCACUUCUGGCUGCACUUACGAAGACAGCAACGUUUUCUUAUUUUUGUUUAACUGGUUUGUUUACUUCCAUUCUUGAUAUCCCAAACUUAAUUAAAAACGCAGAACGCCGUUAUGUCCGCUGGGACGUAUCCCGGAAUCAUUAAGAUCACAGAAGAACACUGUACAUUUUUUGCUCGUGUUGGGUCGAAAGGCUGUCAUGACUAAAUGGGCAGGAGAUGAACCUGAUUAUUGGUAUCAGUCUUUGGUAUCAGACUGUAUUUCUUUGGAAAAACUAAGAUUUGGCAUUAAGGGUCAGAAAGCUGUUUUGUGACCACUGCUGAGGAUGUAUUGUGGAUUUGCUACAUAUUUCAUAUAAUCUGUAUAUGCACUGUGCUGGGCUGUUAGAAUUUUGAAAAUGUUCAAUAAAAAGAAUGUU